UACAGAGGGGGCAAGCGUUAUUCGGAAUUAUUGGGCGUAAAGGGCGCGUAGGCGGGCUGUCAAGUCUGGGGUGAAAUCCCGCGGCUCAACCGUGGAACUGCCUCAGAUACUGACGGCCUCGAGGGAGGUAGGGGCAUGCGGAACUGUAGGUGGAGCGGUGAAAUGCGUUGAUAUCUACAGGAACUCCGGUGGCGAAAGCGGCGUGCUGGACCUCUUCUGACGCUGAGGCGCGAAAGCUAGGGGAGCAAACGGG
rnacentral:rRNA from 1 species